rfam:Brachypodium distachyon strain Bd21 chromosome 1, whole genome shotgun sequence.
GUAUUACUCCCUCCGUCCCAUAUUAAGUGACUCAAAUUUGCCCAAAUAUGGAUGUAUCUAUACCCCAAAAUUGUCUAGAUACAUGUAAUAGAAAGUCACUUAAUAUGGGACGGAGGGAGUACUUA